rnacentral:tRNA from 1 species
GCCCCCAUAGCUUAGUUGGUAGAGCAAUUCGCUUAGAUAGCGAAAGGCCCCCCGUUCAAGCCUGGGUAGAAGCC